rnacentral:rRNA from 1 species
UACGGAAGACCCGAGCGUUAUCCGGAUUUAUUGGGUUUAAAGGGAGCGUAGGCGGAUGCUUAAGUCAGUGGUUAAAUUGUGCGGCUCAACCGUACCUCGCCAUUGAAACUGGGUGUCUUGAUUGCGGAAGAGGACAGUGGAAUUCGUGGUGUAGCGGUGAAAUGCUUAGAUAUCACGAAGAACUCCGAUUGCGAAGGCAGCUGUCUGGGGCGCUAAUGACGCUGAGGCUCGAAAGUGCGGGUAUCAAACAGG